rnacentral:sRNA from 1 species
UAUUAUAUUUUUAUGAAACCAUGAUACAAAAUACCUAUAUAUUACCAAGUAAAAUACAAAUUAAAAGAUAGUUUCAUACUACUCUUGUACUUAUAACUUUGUGAAUUCUUCACACUCUUUAGACCUCCAACUUUUGAAACUUCUUCUCCUUCAUCAUCAACACAUGAACAAGAAAAAGAAAACAUCAUAUCAUUGGAUAUAAAGUCUAUGCUUACUUCAUCACUUUUACAAAUUCGACUAACCAUGUAAUUUUUAAUGUUGUAUAAUAUCACCGAUGACGUAUUCUUGUAUCACAUGGAUGUAAACCUACAUCACAACAACAUUCACAACAUCACAAAUUGUUUAAUGUACAAGAAAUAAAUAAAUAAAUGUUAAGCAAAGAGUACAGAGAAAUUGAAAUUGACAAGAAAAGUUGGUUUGUGUACCUAUGUUUUGUCCCCAAAUCUUCUUCUCCUAACUCCUAGUUUAAAGUUCUGUCACUUGAAAAGAUUUUAUAGAUUAUAACCUUAAACAAAAUAAACAUAUGCAAUCGAUUUUUUCAUAUAUUUGCUUACAAAAGCAUCAAAUUUUGGCUUUUAUUCAGGACUAACAAUAUCCAAUCGUCCUUAGGAAACACAUCAAACAAAAAAACAUAAGUGACAGAUACAACUUAGCUCCUUCGCGAAUCAAGUACAAAGGCAAGCAAAAGACUUCCACUUGAUAACUACUCCCAAACAAGUAACAAGAUUAAACUCGAAUCUGAUUUCACCUCAACUUGAUUCGUCACCGUGACAGAUUCCUCCCUUCUACUGUCCAAGAGCCUCAGAUCCAACGCUCCGACGAAAAAAUUGUAUCCAUUUCCCAACAAUCCCUCCCUUUCAUCUCUGAGAACAUGAAUUCCUUCAAAGAUCGAACCAAAGACAUUCUUAGCAUCAUUGUGGCUCAAUUAAUCGAAUUAGAAAAAUAAACACACAUGAAAAUUAACAAACUCGUUAGAAUCAUGGAUGAAAACACAAAUCAGUGAACUCUAAAUCAAAAUCUCAAACACUAAUAAUAAGUCGGAAAAAACUUACCAACUGAGAUAUAGAAACGGCGACAGAUCUAAGAGACGGUGACGAAGACGACGCGGCUAAAAAAGAUGACACGGACAUAGGAGAUCCCUUGGAACCGUCAGAGAAUUAGUAAUUCAGCUCCGUUAGAGCAUGAGCGACGACGAGAUCUGGAUAAAUAAAAUUAGAUCUGAAAAAAGAAAUUGGGAGAAGAAAAGGAAUGAAGAAGAAGAGGUGAAGAAGAUGAGAAAAUAGAAGAAUUAACGAAACAAUUGAGUUGGAGGAAGAAGAGGAAGAGGUGAGUGAAAUCUAAAGAAAACUAGACCUAAACUUCAUUGGUAAAUAUUUUUAAUGUAUUAAAAGAUUUUAUUGGAGCCCAAUUUUUACUUAGGCGGGCAAAUGAAUUAUCUUUUCCGUGUGGACAAUGAAUAUCGUUUAAAAUAUACCAAUACUAUGAAUACUACGGGUUGGAAAGGUAACCGCGAUUUUUAUUGUGCAGGAAAAGCGUUAUUGUAGUGCGGUACGGUUCAACUACGGUACGUGAGGGAAAAAUAUAUUUGUCGGAUAAGUGCGGUUUGUACAAAAUAAGUGGUACAGAAAAAUGUUUGAUUGGUGAAAAAACUAUUUGCGGUGCAGAUUAUAUAUAUCUAUAU